GAUGAACGCUGGCGGCGUGCCUAAUACAUGCAAGUCGAGCGAAUGGGUUAAGAGCUUGCUCUUAUGAAGUUAGCGGCGGACGGGUGAGUAACACGUGGGUAACCUGCCCUUGACUCUGGGAUAACUGCGGGAAACUGUAGCUAAUACCGGAUACGACCCUCGGCGGCAUCGCCAGGGGGUGGAAAGAAUUUCGGUCAAGGAUGGACUCGCGGCCUCUCAGCUAGUUGGUGCGGUAACGGCUCACCAAGGCGACGACGGGUAGCCGGCCUGAGAGGGUGACGCGCCACCCUGGGACUGGGACACGGCCCAGACUCAUACGGGAGGCACCAGAGGGGAAUAUUGCACAAUGGGGGCAAGCCUGAUGCAGCAACGCCGCGUGAGGGAUGACGGCCGUCGGGCUGUAAACCUCUUUUAGUAGGGAAGAAGCGAAAGUGACGGUACCUGCAGAAAAAGCACCGGCUAACUACGUGCCAGCAGCCGCGGUAA
rnacentral:rRNA from 1 species